AUUGAACGCUGGCGGCAGGCUUAACACAUGCAAGUCGAGCGGAGCGAGGGUGCUUGCACCUUAGCUUAGCGGCGGACGGGUGAGUAAUGCUUAGGAAUCUGCCUAUUAGUGGGGGACAACAUUCCGAAAGGGAUGCUAAUACCGCAUACGCCCUACGGGGGAAAGCAGGGGAUCUGCGGACCUUGCGCGAAUAGAUGAGCCUAAGUCGGAUUAGCUAGUUGGUGGGGUAAAGGCCUACCAAGGCGACGAUCUGUAGCGGGUCUGAGAGGAUGAUCCGCCACACUGGGAGUGAGACACGGCCCAAACUCCUACGGGAGGAAGCAGUGGGGAAUAUUGGACAAUGGGCGGAAGCCUGAUCCAGCCAUGCCGCGUGUGUGAAGAAGGCCUUGUGGUUGUAAAGCACUUUAAGCGAGGAGGGGGCUACUAGUAUUAAUACUACUGGAUAGUGGACGUUACUCGCAGAAUAAGCACCGGCUAACUCUGUGCCAGCCGCCGCGGUAA
rnacentral:rRNA from 1 species